CGCCACGUCGCCUGUUCAUUCUUUAUUCUCUCGUAGUAGAGCCAUAGUAGAGUAAAGCACGUGUCGUAAAACCUUGUUGUCACAGUUUCUCCAUGGCUAUUUUAUUGUUUUUAUUGGAUGUUUUGAUUUUGUAUUUUUUUGGAUUCGAUUUUCUUAGUGUGUAGUGCCGGUUUAGUGUUUAUUUUGAUUACUUUUUAUUUAAAAACUAUAAAACAUGGUUCGUCAGUGCCAAAUUUGUAAGAAAUUGGACUAUUUAAGUCCUGGAACAACAUUCCACAGAUUAUGCUGCCAAAGUUUCCUGAAUACAAUUCCGACCACUCUGUAUAUCAAGAUAUCCCCCAUUACGUACUAGUUUUUCUUAAUAAUUUUCUAUACAUUUUCCAACGCCAAGAUGUACCAAGCGCAUACAAAUACAUCAAGCUUCAAACAAGCUUGCACGUUGACAGUAAUACCUACAGUAAUAUUGUAUUAUAUUAAUGUAAUAUUUUUGAACCAAUGUUCAAUAUUACUGUAGUAAUACUGUUUAUACUCAUGCCUUUUAUAUUUGUUUGAAUUUGGUGCAUAUUUCCAUUGAAUAAAGUAUAGUCACCAUUACCAUUAUUAUACUUACUCUAUAAUAAAGACAGUAACGAGUUAAA
rnacentral:lncRNA from 1 species